AGAGGAAGGCGGAGCGGCGAGAGGCGGAGACGGAGCCGGACAGGGGCGGCACCACGGCACGAGCCCUGCACAGUCCAGUGUGAGGGGAGCGACGCGAAGAGCAGUCGACGGCGCUGCCGCCACCACCACCGCCAUAGACACACUCUCAUCCUACGGGCUACGCCUGGGCCUUGCUGCCAGGAAGCUUCGGCCCCGCAGCUCGGCUUGCUGCGGUCUUAGGUUUCUUUACCUCCAGAAAGAAGAAUAUUGACCCCUUGAAUUCUGGAAGUUCAUUGAAGAAUCUGAAAUUAGGGACUUAUUUCAAAUUUGGACAUGGCUAAUCGAGGUGCAACAAGACCCAACGGGCCAAAUACUGGAAAUAAAAUAUGCCAGUUCAAACUAGUACUUCUGGGAGAGUCUGCUGUUGGCAAAUCAAGCCUAGUGCUUCGUUUUGUGAAAGGCCAAUUUCAUGAAUUUCAAGAGAGUACCAUUGGGGCUGCUUUUCUAACCCAAACUGUAUGUCUUGAUGACACUACAGUAAAGUUUGAAAUACGGGAUACAGCUGGUCAAGAACGAUACCAUAGCCUAGCACCGAUGUACUACAGAGGAGCACAAGCAGUCAUAGUUGUAUAUGAUAUCACAAAUGAGGAGUCCUUUGCAAGAGCAAAAAAUUGGGUUAAAGAACUUUAGAGGCAAGCAAGUCCUAACACUGUAAUAGCUUUAGCAGGAAACAAGGCCAACCUAGCAAAUAAAAGAGCAGUAAAUUUCCAGGAAGCACAGUCCUUUGCAGAUGACAAUAGUUUAUUAUUCAUGGAGACAUCAGCUAAAACAUCAAUGGAUGUAAAUGAAAUAUUCAUGGCAAUAGCUAAAAAAUUGCCAAAGGAUGAACCACAAAAUCCAGGAGCAAAUUCUGCCAGAGGAAGAGGAGUAGACCUCACCGAACCCACACGACCAACCAGGAGUCAGUGUUGUAGUAACUAAACCUCUAGUUUGAAC